UACGAAGGGUGCAAACGUUGCUCGGAAUUACUGGGCGUAAAGGGCUCGUAGGCGGCCAACUAAGUCAGACGUGAAAUCCCUCGGCUUAACCGGGGAACUGCGUCUGAUACUGGAUGGCUUGAGUUUGGGAGAGGGAUGCGGAAUUCCAGGUGUAGCGGUGAAAUGCGUAGAUAUCUGGAGGAACACCGGUGGCGAAGGCGGCAUCCUGGACCAACACUGACGCUGAGUGAGCGAAAGCCAGGGGAGCAAACGGG
rnacentral:rRNA from 1 species